rnacentral:rRNA from 1 species
UACGUAGGGUGCAAGCGUUUAAUCGGAAUUACUGGGCGUAAAGCGUGCGCAGGCGGUUUUGUAAGUCUGUUGUGAAAUCCCCGGGCUCAACCUGGGAAUUGGCAAUGGAGACUGCAAGGCUAGAGUUUGGCAGAGGGGGGUAGAAUUCCACGUGUAGCAGUGAAAUGCGUAGAUAUGUGGAGGAACACCGAUGGCGAAGGCAGCCCCCUGGGUCAAAACUGACGCUCAUGCACGAAAGCGUGGGGAGCAAACAGG